UACGUAGGGUGCAGGCGUUAAUCGGAAUUACUGGGCGUAAAGCGUGCGCAGGCGGUUCUGAAAGUCAGCUGUGAAAGCCCCGGGCUUAACCUGGGAAUGGCGGUUGAAACUACAGGACUAGAAUCUGGCAGAGGGGGGUGGAAUUCCACGUGUAGCAGUGAAAUGCGUAGAGAUGUGGAGGAACACCGAUGGCGAAGGCAGCCCCCUGGGCUGAGAUUGACGCUCAGGCACGAAAGCGUGGGGAGCAAACAGG
rnacentral:rRNA from 1 species